UACGGAGGGUGCGAGCGUUGUCCGGAAUCACUGGGCGUAAAGGGCGCGUAGGCGGCUUGGGAAGUCCGUGGUGAAAGCUCGUGGCUCAACUGCGAGUCGGCCAUGGAUACUCCUAAGCUCGAGUCGACUAGAGGCAGAUGGAAUUCCGGGUGUAGCGGUGGAAUGCGUAGAGAUCCGGAAGAACACCGGUGGCGAAGGCGGGUCUGCUGGGGUCGAACUGACGCUGAGGGCGCGACGAGCGUGGGGAGGCAAACAGG
rnacentral:rRNA from 1 species